GAAAUGCGAUAAGUAAUGUGAAUUGCAGAAUUCAGUGAAUCAUCGAAUCUUUGAACGCACAUUGCGCCCGCCAGUACUCUGGCGGGCAUGCCUGUUCGAGCGUCAUUUCAACCCUCAAGCUCCGCUUGGUGUUGGGGCACUACGGGAGACCGUAGGCCCUGAAAAUUAGUGGCGGGCUCGCUGUGACCCCGGGCGUAGUAGAAAUAUCUCGCCUGCGUCGUCACGGCCUGCUCCUGCCGUAAAACCCCCAAUUUUACAAAGGUUGACCUCGGAUCAGGUAGGAAUACCCGCUGAACUUAA
rnacentral:misc_RNA from 1 species